UGGGGAAUAUUGGACAAUGGGCGCAAGCCUGAUCCAGCCAUGCCGCGUGAGUGAUGAAGGCCCUAGGGUUGUAAAGCUCUUUUGUGCGGGAAGAUAAUGACGGUACCGCAAGAAUAAGCCCCGGCUAACUUCGUGCCAGCAGCCGCGGUAAUACGAAGGGGGCUAGCGUUGCUCGGAAUCACUGGGCGUAAAGGGUGCGUAGGCGGGUCUUUAAGUCAGAGGUGAAAUCCUGGAGCUCAACUCCAGGACUGCCUUUGAUACUGAGGAUCUUGAGUUCGGGAGAGGUGAGUGGAACUGCGAGUGUAGAGGUGAAAUUCGUAGAUAUUCGCAAGAACACCAGUGGCGAAGGCGGCUCACUGGCCCUGUACUGACGCUCAUGCACGAAAGCGUGGGGAGCAAACAGGAUU
rnacentral:rRNA from 1 species